GACAGAGGGUGCAAACGUUGUUCGGAAUUACUGGGCGUAAAGCGUGCGCAGGCGGCCUUGCAAGUCGGGCGUGAAAUCCCACGGCUCAACCGUGGAAGUGCAUCCGAAACUGCAUGGCUCGAGUCUCGGAGAGGAAGGUGGAAUGCUUGGUGUAGAGGUGAAAUUCGUAGAUAUCAAGCAGAACACCUGCGGCGAAGGCGGCCUUCUGGACGAUGACUGACGCUGAGACACGAAAGCGUGGGGAGCAAACAGG
rnacentral:rRNA from 1 species